GGUAGCUCGUCAGGCUCAUAAUCUGAAGGUCGUAGGUUCAAAUCCUACUCCC
rnacentral:tRNA from 1 species